GGGGUGGAGGACCCCAAAAUGUCCCAAAUUUGACCCAAAAUGUCCCAAAUUUGCCCCCAAAUGUCCCAAAUUUGACCCCAAUUCCCUCAAAUUUGACCCAAAAUGUCCCAAAUUUGACCCAAAUUUGACCCAAAAUGGCAGAAAUUUGACCCAAAUUUGGGCCCCGUUUGGGUCGCCAAUGUUGACCCAAGGAGAGAGUGGGGGUGGAGGACCCCAAAAUGUC
rnacentral:lncRNA from 1 species